rnacentral:sRNA from 1 species
AGUCCUAGUAUGCAAAAAC